CUAUGAAGAACGAUUCUGGUGUCUGCGGAGACGAGGAUGGUUGCAGUGAUUAUGACUUGACACCAAUAAAUCAUAUAGUUGAUGUUGAUGACAUGAAUCCCCAAGAAUAAAAAGGCUGUUGUAAAAGACUGUGUGAUUUCUGACAUGGAAACAUCUUCUCCCACCCAUGGCCAGAAGAUAUUGCAAGAGAUCAUGAUUAUGGAGAGCAUACUGGUAUUCCACUCAGCAACACAGAUGCAUUAACUCUGACAGAUUUCAGCAUUACUGAUAUUAGACAAUUGCAGCAAAAAGCAAAACAGUAUAAUGAUCGAGAUACACUCCUGAGAGAUCAGCAUAUUGCUUACUUGAGGAUUCAUGUAGAGAGAGCUAUUGGUAGAUUGAAAACUUUUCGAAUUUUGUCAAAAACUAUGUCGCUAAAUCUAAAACCUGAAGCAAUUCAAAUUCUUACUGUAUGUGCAUUUUUGUGCAAACUUCAAAAGCCGCUUGUAAAGAAAUAAUUAUUAUGAGGGAAAAAUGCUUCAGAUUUGUAAAAUUUUUAUUUUUAAAAGUCUCAAAUAAUUGUAUUAAAACAACUAAACAUACAAUGUAUAUU